UACGAAGGGGGCUAGCGUUGCUCGGAAUCACUGGGCGUAAAGCGCACGUAGGCGGGUUCUUAAGUCAGGGGUGAAAUCCUGGAGCUCAACUCCAGAACUGCCUUUGAUACUGGGAAUCUCGAGUCCGGGAGAGGUGAGUGGAACUGCGAGUGUAGAGGUGAAAUUCGUAGAUAUUCGCAAGAACAUCAGUGGCGAAGGCGGCUCACUGGCCCGGUACUGACGCUGAGGUGCGAAAGCGUGGGGAGCAAACAGG
rnacentral:rRNA from 1 species